UGCAAUAACCACUCCACUCUGUCUCCUCCGAACACUCUCUCCUCUCCAGCCUUUGACUCGCACAAGUAACACCAGCAACACAACAGUUUCCUCGUGCGCCAGGCAGCCGAGCCGGGACAGAAGGCACCCGAGGAAAAAAAAAAUCAUGCACUCUAAUCGACUAUCAUGGGUUAAGAAGACACACACUUUGACCACAGCAGAGAGCAGACGUUGCCUACAAGUGCUCAGAAUUAA